AAACGAGUUCAGAUUUACAGC
rnacentral:miRNA from 1 species